CAGCCAGUUAAUCUAUUUAUCUGAAUGUGUUUCUGCAAAAAUUUAGAAACAGCUGGCAAUAGCAAUGCAAUUUUAUGAGCCUUAAGGACAGCUCUGGUCAUUAUGGUCCCUCAAAAUGGCUACAAUA